CUCCACACUUCUAAGUUGCUGUGAUGCAUAAAAUCUGUCUAAAAUGACUUCAUGCUCCACCCACACAGGUGUUUUCAGUGGUGACUGAUUAGACUGUCGGGAUGUGUACAGACUGCUUGAUUGGCAUGUCCCUCCUCUCCUGUUGGACAUGUUAAGGGGAGACAACUUACACUUCACUACUAUCAUUCUUAUCUUAUUGCUAUGUGGAGUUUUGUGACGUCAUUUACAGGUGUAUCUAUCUAUGGCCCAGGAAAAGGUUGUCACUGCCGAGCUGCAACAUCAAAACUGCUCCACUCAUGUGAUGGUGGCUGAUGUCGGCUUCACCAUCACUCCUGACUCUCCCUGGAAUGAGAGAAAUAUUUGACAUCCAUCAACUGCUUUGAGCCACGAUGGGAUUCACUCUUUAUACAUUUCAAACAUUCCCUGCACACAGCUGGAAAACCACCAUGAGUGUCAAGUAUUUUAAAGCACUGGGAAAAAUAUGAUAAAGCCUGAAUCCCGAUGGCUUAACAUAGAGCCACUGCACAAUAUUUUUGCUUCAACAAGAUGUCACCCUUCAGUCUCACUUCUCAAUCACUUUGUGUCCCAUGUGUUGUCUCACACUGCUUGUAUGAUGGGGCCCAGCACUGAGUAAACAGACUGUACUGACAUACGUGGAUCACAAGAUAAUGAAGAAAUCUACAAAGAUAUGGUCCUGCAUACAGAAAUGAAACGUGUGUCUAUACCUUUUUUUCUAGCAAGGAAUGCAAUAUCAAACAAUAACACAAGCACAAUCUAACUCAAUUAUAUACAAUUACAACCUUUGUGAAGCUAAAAAUGUCAAUUUUUUGUUGAUAUUCUUUUUUUAAACUGUAAUUCUUCUUGUUUUUAUUUAUUUAAUGGUUUAUAUUGGUGGUUUAAGUGUGCAAAUGUGUGUGUAAAUUCAGAAUAUUUCUUUGGUAAUCACAGCAAUAAAAGGCUGUCUGACUGUAAGAAUAA